GGGCUGUGAUGAGUUCUUGCACAUCCUGUGGUUGAAGUUCAAUCACGACCAUCUGAUCUAACGGAUGAAAUCUCGUGCACCUGAGCUC